rnacentral:lncRNA from 1 species
GAAGAUGGUGUAAAAGGUGCUGUGAAGAUUGUGGUGGAUGAUAUUCUGGAAGUUGUUCUGCUGUUGCUGUGUGGAUGCUGAAGUUUUUUUUAUUUUUUUGGCAAUUGUGUAAUGUGUGGCAGUCCUCAUUGAUGCCUGUUUUGUAAUAUUUAGGGCUCUUAAAGAGUUCCUUGGAUUUGUUCAUUAUCUCAGCUAUUACAGCUGUGUAUGAUGAUGGUUUGUACUGCUUAACUAUUAUGUUUUAACAUGCUUAAUGUUAUAACAUCUGUCCUGGAAUUC